AGUGAACGCUGGCGGUAGGCCUAACACAUGCAAGUCGAACGGCAGCACAGUAAGAGCUUGCUCUUACGGGUGGCGAGUGGCGGACGGGUGAGGAAUACAUCGGAAUCUACUUUUUCGUGGGGGGUAACGUAGGGAAACUUACGCUAAUACCGCAUACGACCUACGGGUGAAAGCAGGGGAUCUUCGGACCUUGCGCGAUUGAAUGAGCCGAUGUCGGAUUAGCUAGUUGGCGGGGUAAAGGCCCACCAAGGCGACGAUCCGUAGCUGGUCUGAGAGGAUGAUCAGCCACACUGGAACUGAGACACGGUCCAGACUCCUACGGGAGGCAGCAGUGGGGAAUAUUGGACAAUGGGCGCAAGCCUGAUCCAGCCAUACCGCGUGGGUGAAGAAGGCCUUCGGGUUGUAAAGCCCUUUUGUUGGGAAAGAAAAGCAGCAGGUUAAUACCCCGCUGUUCUGACGGUACCCAAAGAAUAAGCACCGGCGAACUUCGU
rnacentral:rRNA from 1 species